rnacentral:rRNA from 1 species
AUUGAACGCUGGCGGCAUGCCUUACACAUGCAAGUCGAACGGCAGCACGGGAGCAAUCCUGGUGGCGAGUGGCGAACGGGUGAGUAAUAUAUCGGAACGUGCCCAGUCGUGGGGGAUAACGCAGCGAAAGCUGUGCUAAUACCGCAUACGAUCUAAGGAUGAAAGCGGGGGAUCGCAAGACCUCGCGCGAUUGGAGCGGCCGAUAUCAGAUUAGCUAGUUGGUGGGGUAAAGGCCCACCAAGGCGACGAUCUGUAGCUGGUCUGAGAGGACGACCAGACACACUGGAACUGAGACACGGUCCAGACUCCUACGGGAGGCAGCAGUGGGGAAUUUUGGACAAUGGGCGCAAGCCGGAUCCAGCAAUGCCGCGUGCAGGAUGAAGGCCUUCGGGUUGUAAACUGCUUUUGUACGGAACGAAACGGCCCUUUCUAAUACAGGGGGCUAAUGACGGUACCGUAAGAAUAAGCACCGGCUAACUACGUGCCAGCCGCCGCCGUAAAAC